rnacentral:tRNA from 1 species
AAAGGGAGACCUAAUUCGGGUAUAAGACGAAAAAAAAGUAGUCCCUACCAAGAAUCAAUCCCAAAAGGUCGGAACGAGGUAUGAGGCUUUCAAACUAGGUUCUGGGUUCAUAAAAGACCUGAAUCAGGAACAAGGGCUAUUAGCUCAGGUGGUUAGAGCGCACCCCUGAUAAGGGUGAGGUCCCUGGUUCGAGUCCAGGAUGGCCCACCUGCACAGGUGGCAAAAACAAGAGAAACGAGGAAUCAGCACCUUAUCUUAUAUACAUAUAUAAGAGAGAAUGCUGGCUCUGAGUACAGAGUCCAGAGGAACCUUGAAAACUGCAUAGAGCUAGGUGAAAAAGCCAAAAAAGAAGACCGCAAG